rnacentral:rRNA from 1 species
CGAUGCAACGCGAAAAACCUUACCCACCUUUGACAUGUACGGAAUCCUUUAGAGAUAGAGGAGUGCUCGAAAGAGAGCCGUAACACAGGUGCUGCAUGGCUGUCGUCAGCUCGUGUCGUGAGAUGUUGGGUUAAGUCCCGCAACGAGCGCAACCCUUGCCAUUAGUUGCUACAUUUAGUUGAGCACUCUAAUGGGACUGCCGGUGACAAACCGGAGGAAGGUGGGGAUGACGUCAAGUCCUCAUGGCCCUUAUAGGUGGGGCUACACACGUCAUACAAUGGCUGGUACAAAGGGUUGCCAACCCGCGAGGGGGAGCUAAUCCCAUAAAGCCAGUCGUAGUCCGGAUCGCAGUCUGCAACUCGACUGCGUGAAGUCGGAAUCGCUAGUAAUCGUGGAUCAGAAUGUCACGGUGAAUACGUUCCCGGGUCUUGUACACACCGCCCGUCACACCAUGGGAGCGGGUCUCGCCAGAAGUAGGUAGCCUAACCGCAAGGAGGGCGCUUACCACGGCGGGGUUCGUGACUGGGGUGAAGUCGUAACAAGGUAGCCGUAUCGGAAGG